rnacentral:lncRNA from 1 species
CCCAAGCGGGUGAGAGGAGCCCCUGCACCCACAUGGGAGACCAGGAAGAAGCUUUUGGGCGCCUGGCUUUGUAUUGGCCGAACUCUAGCCAUUGCAACCAUCUGGGGAGUGAACCAGCAGAUGGAAGCCCUCUCUCUCUCUCCUCCUCCUCCUCCUCCUCCUCCUCUUCCCCUUCUCUCUCUGUGUAACUCUACCUUUCAAAUAGAUAAAAUAAAUGUUUAAAGGAAAAAAAAAAAAAGAAAUUCAAGCGCAGCAGAAGGGCCAUUGGAAAGAGGACUUUGGAAGAGGACUGUGCCGUACACUGCUCUUGCUGCCGUCUCGAGGCAGUAGCCUCCUAGGCUGCAUCUGUGGGAGGCCCCUCCUGCGCAGACCACUGCAGACUGCAAAUGGGAUUAGUCUGCUGAGAACACUAACCCCACGUUCCAGAGAAUUCGACUUGCAGUCACAAGGAUGCUCUGAGGAGGACCUGUGCCAAGUUGCAGAAGCCCUCAAACAACUGCCUACAUUUCACCAAAGAAAGUCAGGAUGCAGGAUGUAGGACAUUUUUGGAUCUAGUUCCCAAAACUAUCGCUGUGAGUUCUAGGACGCUAAUGAAGUGUCCUUGCAGCUGGGAAUUGUAAUCAAUCCAGGCAAACUUGUUUGGAUGUCCCUGGGAGUUUAUUAGUAUCAGGAAGUUACAGUUGUGAACUGAUUGCUCUGUUUAUAAGUCACACCUCUGACUCCCUGGCGCUCCAGGAAUGCAAGCACCUGGUUCCGUGCCCCCACUCUGCAUUUCAUCCCAAGCAGAAGUCUGUCUCUGCUUGUGAGGUCGAAAAUCAACCGGCGGGUACAAUGAUACUUGGGACAAUGGACGGAACUUCAGGAACAGUGGGCCGGAUUGAACUUAACGGGUCUCCAGGAGGCGGCUGCCGGACAGGAGAAUCCUGGGCUAAAAGGUAAGCUCAAUGGUAAGAACCUACGUGUGGAGCCAGGCUGUAGUUCAAGAGAAGCGCAGUAAGAAAAACGAGAGCAUUUAGUAAGGUUAUGAGCUGAGUUGGCAUGUCUCCUCCUCUUGUGCCUGGAAAUACCAAACAUUCCCUAAGAAGGAGUCUUGCCAGAAGCAAACCUGGGCUUAGGUAUCUGUACCUAAUGACCAGGUGACAGGAAAUGCAGGAGACAGGGAACAAGCGCAGCGAUAUUCUAAGGAAGAAAGAAGCCACAUACAGGAUAGGGGGAAUUCCGUGGGCUGGAGGCCUUGAUUCCUUCCGUGUAUAAAUGAUGUUGAAAACAUGGGAGGGGAGAAACUUAUCAAUUAAAAGAAACUUGUCAGAUACUUAUUAAGCAACAAAAAUUCAUUUGGAUCCUGAUUCAAUCAAACCAACUGUAAAAAGGAUUUUUUUUUUUUUGAGAUAAUCUGGGAAGUUUGAACAAAGGCAGGUUGUUAAUGAUCUUAGUGAUAUUAUAUAAUGAAUGUUUUAAAAAGCAAAACUCAGUAGAGAUAUUUGCUUUGAAAUGUUUCAGCAAAGAAGGUGAGAUGUAGAUUUAAAAAGACGGGCAAAAUGUUGAUGUUUGGGUAAUGUGCACAUGAGACUUCAUGGCACUGUUUUCUCUGCUUUGGUGAACAAUGGAAAUUUCUAGAAUAUGGUUCUAUAAGAUUCAGUGAGAGCAGCAGCCUUUCAGGCAAGGAAAUCUUCCAAAACUUACUGCCUACCCUCUUCCUCUGUAGGGGUGGGGCCGUUCAAAGCCGAAGGGUAAACUCGAAGCCUGGGGGAGGGGCUGCUCGCCUAGAGGACCCUGGGCAGCCAGGACUCCAGGUGGUCCCCCAGGUUGAUCAGUGCUUAAAGACUAGAACCUGAGUUCUGUCUACCCACACGCCUGUCUGACAUUUCACCUGUCUUCUACUCAUCCUCACACCUGCGUUUAACACCCAACUCAUUGUUUCCUGGGGAAACAGACGGAAAAAGCCAGUGUCCCACUCUUGAGGCCAGUACACUCUAAUACACGGAGAGUGGAAAAGUGAGUUAAGCAUCCCAAAUGGGCACGGGUUCAAGACCCAGCUGCUCCACUUCGAAUCCUGCUCUGUGCUGUAGCCUGGGAAAGCAGUAGAAAAUGGCCCAAGUCCUUGGGCUCCUGCACCUGCGUGGGAGACCCAGGAGAAGCUCCUGAUUCCGGGUUUCAGAUUGGCCCAGCAACGGCCAUUUGGGGAGUGACCCAGCAGAUGGAAGAUUACUGUCUCUCUCUGCCUCUGCCUCUCUGUAGCUCUGCCUUUCAAAUAAAUCUUUUUUUUUUUUUUUUUAAAGGAAAGUG